rnacentral:ncRNA from 1 species
GAUAUUCUGUAACUGACAACAGUUCGCGGCAACGCAUACUUUUUUUCUCCGCCAAUCUUAUACCGUUGGUAGGGAUCUCUUUCCUACAUGACAGUACUAAUACCCAGGGAAACUGGUCAUCAGGCGAACUGCGGCGUUCUGCUGGCAAAACAUAGCUUCGGUUAUGUCAAUGGCUAUUGGAUUGGUCCAUGAAGCGAAAAAUAGUUUACUGUGUCACUCGUACCGAUAACCGCAUCAGGUCUUCUAGGUAAGUAGCCUAUGGCCAUUGAGGCAUGAUAGUUCAGGGAAUUCGGCCAAUUAGAGCUGUAACUUCGGGAUAAAGCUUGGCUCUGAUGAAAAUCAGAACCGAUUGUUACGCGGAGAGCCCAACUGUUUAAUAAAAACGUAGUGUCGCGCUGUGGUAGUAUAGCCAGUGAACGCGACAUGAAUCCUGCUCAGUGCUGUGUCUGUUAAUAUGGUUCAAGCCAACGAAGCACCGGUAAAUAGCUGGGGUAACUAUGACUCUUAUCAAAGUAGCGAAAUACCUCGUCACUUAAUUAGUGACCUGCAUGAACGGAGCUAUGAGGUUCUCACUGUCCCAAACUGUCUCUCAGCGAACCAACUGUAGUGGGAACGGUCACUAGAUAUCCAGCGGGGAAAGAAGACCCUGUAGAGCUUCACUUUGGUCUAGUCUUGUAUAGUUCCUGCGGGGGUGUAGACUAGGUGGGAGAGCAAUCGAUUCUGAAAAACCA